ACUGUGAAGGAAAGAUGAAAAGCACUUUGAAAAGAGAGUGAAACAGCACGUGAAAUUGUUGAAAGGGAAGGGUAUUGCGCCCGACAUGGGGAUUGCGCACCGCUGCCUCUCGUGGGCGGCGCUCUGGGCUUUCCCUGGGCCAGCAUCGGUUCUUGCUGCAGGAGAAGGGGUUCUGGAACGUGGCUCUUCGGAGUGUUAUAGCCAGGGCCAGAUGCUGCGUGCGGGGACCGAGGACUGCGGCCGUGUAGUCACGGAUGCUGGCAGAACGGCGCAACACCG
rnacentral:rRNA from 1 species